rnacentral:rRNA from 1 species
UACGGAAGGCAGCAGUGGGGAAUAUUGCACAAUGGGCGAAAGCCUGAUGCAGCUAUGCCGCGUGUAUGAAGAAGGCCUUAGGGUUGUAAAGUACUUUCAUCGGGGAGGAAAAACAAAACUAAUAAUUUUAUUUCUUGACGUUACCCGAAAAAGAAGCACCGGCUAACUCCGUGCCAGCAGCCGCGGUAAUACGGAGGGUGCUAGCGUUAAUCAGAAUUACUGGGCGUAAAGAGCACGUAGGUGGUUUUUUAAGUCAGAUGUGAAAUCCCUGGGCUUAACCUAGGAACUGCAUUUUGAAACUGAAAUACUAGAGUAUCGUAGAGGGAGGUAGAAUUCUAGGUGUAGCGGUGAAAUGCGUAGAUAUCUGGAGGAAUACCUGUGGCGAAAGCGGCCUCCUAAACGAAUACUGACACUGAGGUGCGAAAGCGUGGGGAGCAAACGAGGAUUAGACUACC